GAGUAUCGUGCCCUCCGGUGGGGUAUAGCCUCGGGAAACUGAGAGUUAUCCCGCAUACGAUCCGGUGGCCUUGGUUGCCGGAUGAAAGCCUUCGGGCGCCGGAGGAGCGGCUCGCGUCCUAUCAGGUAGUUGGUGAGGUAACGGCUCACCAAGCCGAUGACGGGUAGCUGGUCUUAGAGGACGAUCAGCCAGAGGGGGACUGAGACACGGCCCCCACUCCUACGGGAGGCAGCAGCAGGGAAUUUUGGGCAAUGGGCGAAAGCCUGACCCAGCGACGUCACGUGGGGGAUGAAGGCCUUAGGGCUGCAAACCCCUUUUCCCGGGGAAGAGAAAGGACGGUACCCGGGGAAUAAGCUCCGGCUAACUACGUGCCAGCUGCCGCGGUAAUACGUAAGGAGCAAGCGUUACCCGGAAUUACUGGGCGUAAAGAGCGCGUAGGCGGCUUGGUAAGUCUCUUGUGAAAGCUCCCGGCUCAACUGGAGAGGUCAAGGGAUACUACCUCGCUUGAGGGCGGUAGAGGCAAAGCGGAAUUUCCCGGUGUAGCGGUGAAAUGCGUAGAUAUCGGGAGGAACACCAGUGGCGAAGGCGGGUUUCUGGGCCGUGCCUGACGCGAGGCGCGAGAGCGUGGGGAGCAAACUGGAUUAGAUACCCAGGUAGUCCACGCCCUAAACGAUGAAUGCUAGGUACAGCGGGUAUCGACCCCUGCUGUUCCGAAGCUAACGCGAUAAGCAUUCCGCAUGGGGAGUACGGCCGCAAGGCUAAAUCUCAAAGGAAUUGACGGGGGCCCGCACAAGCAGCGGAGCGUGUUGUUCAAUUCGAUGGCAAGCGAAGAACCUUACCAGGGCUUGACAUGUUUCCGACAGUCCCCGAAAGGGGAUCUUCCUUCGGGACGGAUUCACAGAUGUUGCAUGGUCGUCGUCAGCUCGUGUCGUGAGAUGUUGGGUUAAGUCCCGCAACGAGCGCAACCCUUGUCGUUAGUUACCUUGUCUAGCGAGACUGCAUGUAAAAAACAUGAGGAAGGUGGGGAUGACGUCAGAUCAGCACGGCUCUUACGUCCUGGGCUACAAACACGCUACAAUGGCCUGAACAAAGGGUCGCCAAGGCGCAAGCCGGAGCCAAUCCCACAAAUCAGGCCUCAGUUGGAAUUGCAGGCUGAAACUCGCCUGCAUGAACGUGGAGCUGCUAGUAACCGCAGGUCAGCACACUGCGGUGAAUACGUUCCCGGGCCUUGUACACACCGCCCGUA
rnacentral:rRNA from 1 species